rnacentral:rRNA from 1 species
UACGUAGGGGGCAAGCGUUGUCCGGAAUCAUUGGGCGUAAAGAGCGCGUAGGCGGUCCGGUAAGUCGGUUGUGAAAACUGGGGGCUCAACCCUCAGAGGCCGACCGAUACUGUCGGGCUAGAGUCCGGAAGAGGCGAGUGGAAUUCCUGGUGUAGCGGUGGAAUGCGCAGAUAUCAGGAGGAACACCAACGGCGAAGGCAGCUCGCUGGGACGGUACUGACACUGAGGCGCGAAAGCGUGGGGAGCGAACAGG